GCUAGAGUAGGUGAGAGGGAAGUAGAAUUCCAGGUGUAGCGGUGAAAUGCGUAGGAUCUGGAGGAAUACCGAUGGCGAAGGCAGCUUCCUGGCAUCAUACUGACACUGAGGCUCGAAAGCGUGGGUAGCAAACAGGAUUAGAUACCCUGGUAGUCCACGCCGUAAACGAUGUCUACUAGUCGUUGGGUCCCNUGAGGANUUAGUGACGCAGCUAACGCAAUAAGUAGACCGCCUGGGGAGACGGCCGCAAGGUUAAAACUCAAAUGAAUUGNCGGGGGCCCGCACNAGCGGUGGAGCAUGUGGUUUANUUNGAUGCAACGCGAAGAACCUUACUGGUCUUGACAUACACAGAAUCUUGUAGAGAUACGAGAGUGCCUUCGGGAAUUGUGAUACAGGUGCUGCAUGGCUGUCGUCAGCUNGUGUCGUGAGAUGUUGGGUUAAGUCCCGCAACGAGCGCAACCCUUGUCCUUAGUUACCAGCGGGUUAAGCCGGGAACUCUAAGGAUACUGCCAGUGACAACUGGAGGAAGGCGGGGACGACGUCAAGUCAUCAUGGCCCUUACGACCAGGGCUACACACGUGCUACAAUGGUAGGUACAGAGGGCAGCUACACAGCGAUGUGAUGCGAAUCUCAAAAAGCCUAUCGUAGUCCAGAUUGGAGUCUGCAACUCGACUCCNUGAAGUAGGAAUCGCUAGUAAUCGCGGAUCAGAAUGCCGCGGUGAAUACGUUCCCGGGCCUUGUACACACCGCCCGUCACACCAUGGGAGUUGAUUGCACCAGAAGUGGUUAGCCGA
rnacentral:rRNA from 1 species